rnacentral:rRNA from 1 species
UGGGGAAUUUUGGACAAUGGGCGCAAGCCUGAUCCAGCAAUGCCGCGUGCAGGAAGAAGGCCUUCGGGUUGUAAACUGCUUUUGUACGGAACGAAAANCUCUGGGCUAAUACCCUGGGGUGAUGACGGUACCGUAAGAAUAAGCACCGGCUAACUACGUGCCAGCAGCCGCGGUAAUACGUAGGGUGCGAGCGUUAAUCGGAAUUACUGGGCGUAAAGCGUGCGCAGGCGGUUUUGUAAGACAGGCGUGAAAUCCCCGGGCUCAACCUGGGAAUGGCGCUUGUGACUGCAAGGCUGGAGUGCGGCAGAGGGGGAUGGAAUUCCGCGUGUAGCAGUGAAAUGCGUAGAUAUGCGGAGGAACACCGAUGGCGAAGGCAAUCCCCUGGGCCUGCACUGACGCUCAUGCACGAAAGCGUGGGGAGCAAACAGGAUUAGAUACCCUGGUAGUCCACGCCCUAAACGAUGUCAACUGGUUGUUGGGUCUUANCUGACUCAGUAACGAAGCUAACGCNUGAAGUUGACCGCCUGGGAUACGCCGC